rnacentral:rRNA from 2 species
AGCGGUAACAGAUCCAGCUUGCUGGAUGCUGACGAGCGGCGGACGGGUGAGUAAUGCAUAGGAAUCUGCCCGAUAGUGGGGGAUAACCUGGGGAAACCCAGGCUAAUACCGCAUACGUCCUACGGGAGAAAGGGGGCUCCGGCUCCCGCUAUGGGAUGAGCCUAUGUCGGAUUAGCUAGUUGGUGAGGUAACGGCUCACCAAGGCCACGAUCCGUAGCUGGUCUGAGAGGAUGAUCAGCCACAUCGGGACUGAGACACGGCCCGAACUCCUACGGGAGGCAGCAGUGGGGAAUAUUGGACAAUGGGGGAAACCCUGAUCCAGCCAUGCCGCGUGUGUGAAGAAGGCCCUCGGGUUGUAAAGCACUUUCAGCGAGGAAGAACGCCUAGCGGUUAAUACCCGCUAGGAAAGACAUCACUCGCAGAAGAAGCACCGGCUAACUCCGUGCCAGCAGCCGCGGUAAUACGGAGGGUGCAAGCGUUAAUCGGAAUUACUGGGCGUAAAGCGCGCGUAGGUGGCUUGAUAAGCCGGUUGUGAAAGCCCCGGGCUCAACCUGGGAACGGCAUCCGGAACUGUCAAGCUAGAGUGCAGGAGAGGAAGGUAGAAUUCCCGGUGUAGCGGUGAAAUGCGUAGAGAUCGGGAGGAAUACCAGUGGCGAAGGCGGCCUUCUGGACUGACACUGACACUGAGGUGCGAAAGCGUGGGUAGCAAACAGGAUUAGAUACCCUGGUAGUCCACGCCGUAAACGAUGUCGACCAGCCGUUGGGUGCCUAGCGCACUUUGUGGCGAAGUUAACGCGAUAAGUCGACCGCCUGGGGAGUACGGCCGCAAGGUUAAAACUCAAAUGAAUUGACGGGGGCCCGCACAAGCGGUGGAGCAUGUGGUUUAAUUCGAUGCAACGCGAAGAACCUUACCUACUCUUGA